UACGAGGGGAGCAAGCGUUGUUCGGAUUUACUGGGCGUAAAGGGCUCGUAGGUGGCCAACUAAGUCAGACGUGAAAUCCCUCGGCUUAACCGGGGAACUGCGUCUGAUACUGGAUGGCUUGAGUUCGGGAGAGGGAUGCGGAAUUCCAGGUGUAGCGGUGAAAUGCGUAGAUAUCUGGAGGAACACCGGUGGCGAAGGCGGCAUCCUGGACCGAUACUGACGCUGAGGAGCGAAAGCCAGGGGAGCAAACGGG
rnacentral:rRNA from 1 species